GGUCCUACAAGAUAUUCAAGGUUCAUCUUUUAUAUUCCAUAUCCCUGCCCUAGAAUCAGCCAUUUCUCCAAGUAGCCCUAGUUCUUUUUAUUGGAGAGUCGUAUUAGAAACCAAGUGUUGGGUGUGCUUGUUGUUACUGAAGCAUUGUUGGUUCUGCGAACAGAACUAUGGAAUAUAUGGCCUGACUAGAACAAAAGGAUGGAGGAAGAGCAAAUUCUCUCUUUGUCUUCAUGAGAUACUUCUCUGGUGAUUGCUAAUACAAUAAUCAACUCAAACUCUGAAAAAUCAUCUUGAUUAUUGACAAGAACCCACUCGGCCUCCCUGGCUGUGCCACAACCUUGGGGGACCUCCAGCAUUUUACCAAGGUAACUGUGCAUUGAAAAA
rnacentral:lncRNA from 1 species